GACGAACGCUGGCGGCGUGCUUAACACAUGCAAGUCGAACGGUGAAGCGCCUUCCUUUUUGGUGGGUGUGGAUGAGUGGCGAACGGGUGAGUAACACGUGAGUAACCUGCCCCCUUCUUCUGGAUAACCGCAUGAAAGUGUGGCUAAUACGGGAUAUUCUGGGUCUGUCGCAUGAUGGGUCUGGGAAAGAUAUUGUUUCGGUGGGGGAUGGGCUCGCGGCCUAUCAGCUUGUUGGUGGGGUGAUGGCCUACCAAGGCGGUGACGGGUAGCCGGCCUGAGAGGGUGGACGGUCACACUGGGACUGAGACACGGACCAGACUCCUACGGGAGGCAGCAGUGGGGAAUAUUGCACAAUGGGAGCAAGCCUGAUGCAGCGACGCCGCGUGAGGGAUGGAGGCCUGCGGGUUGUGAACCUCUUUCGCCAGUGAAGCAGGCCUGCCUCGUUUGUGGGUGGGUUGACGGUAGCUGGAUAAGAAGCGCCGGCUAACUACGUG
rnacentral:rRNA from 1 species